rnacentral:rRNA from 1 species
GUGGGGAAUUUUGGACAAUGGGCGCAAGCCUGAUCCAGCAAUGCCGCGUGCAGGAAGAAGGCCUUCGGGUUGUAAACUGCUUUUGUCAGGGAAGAAAUCUUCUGGGCUAAUACCCCGGGAGGAUGACGGUACCUGAAGAAUAAGCACCGGCUAACUACGUGCCAGCAGCCGCGGUAAUACGUAGGGUGCGAGCGUUAAUCGGAAUUACUGGGCGUAAAGCGUGCGCAGGCGGCUUUGCAAGACAGAUGUGAAAUCCCCGGGCUCAACCUGGGAACUGCAUGUGUGACUGCAAGGCUAGAGUACGGCAGAGGGGGAUGGAAUUCCGCGUGUAGCAGUGAAAUGCGUAGAUAUGCGGAGGAACACCAAUGGCGAAGGCAAUCCCCUGGGCCUGUACUGACGCUCAUGCACGAAAGCGUGGGGAGCAAACAGGAUUAGAUACCCGUGUAGUCC